AAUCAACGCUGGCGGCGUGCCUCAGACAUGCAAGUCGAACGCGAAAGUCCCCUUCGGGGGACAAGUAGAGUGGCGCACGGGUGAGUAACACGUAGGUAAUCUACCUUCGGAUGGGGAAUAACAACCGGAAACGGUUGCUAAUACCGCAUAAUGCAGCGGCACCUAAUGGUGACAGUUGUUAAAGCGGGGGAUUGAAAGACCUCGCGUCUGAAGAGGAGCCUGCGGCGGAUUAGCUUGUUGGAGGGUAACGGCCUACCAAGGCGACGAUCCGUAGCCGGCCUGAGAGGGCGGUCGGCCACACUGACACUGACAUACGGGUCAGACUCCUAC
rnacentral:rRNA from 1 species